rnacentral:rRNA from 1 species
AAUAAGCGGAGGAAAAGAAACCAACCGGGAUUGCCUCAGUAACGGCGAGUGAAGCGGCAUCAGCUCAAAUUUGAAAGCCCUCGGGCGUUGUAAUUUGCAGGGGAAGUGCUUGGGGCGGGUGCUGUCUACGUUCCUUGGAACAGGACGCCGCAGAGGGUGAGAGCCCCGUGCGAUGGCACCUYUAACCGYAUAAGCCUUCUCCGACGAGUCGAGUUGUUUGGGAAUGCAGCUCAAAGUGGGUGGUAAAUUCCAUCUAAAGCUAAAUACUGGCGAGAGACCGAUAGCGAACAAGUACAGUGAUGGAAAGAUGAAAAGCACUUUGAAAAGAGAGUGAAACAGCACGUGAAAUUGUUGAAAGGGAAGGGUAUGCGAUUAGCGGCCAGCAGGAGGUGGUCUCUCGUGAAAAGGCCGGGCACCGUCCUCGGACACUGUGCGCGGAGAUGGCGAGGGGCCGCCUGAGGUCUGCGACUCUA